UAGCCUUUGGAAACGAAGAAUAAUACCCUAUAAAGUUAGUCAAUCGCAUGGUAGACUAACCAAAGAUUUAUCGGUGUAAGAUGGACUUGCGUCUGAUUAGCUAGUUGGUGAGAUAAAAGCCCACCAAGGCGACGAUCAGUAGCCGGCUUGAGAGAGUGUACGGCCACAUUGGAACUGAGACACGGUCCAGACUCCUACGGGAGGCAGCAUG
rnacentral:rRNA from 1 species